rnacentral:rRNA from 1 species
UGGGGAAUAUUGCACAAUGGGCGAAAGCCUGAUGCAGCAACGCCGCGUGAGGGAUGACGGCCUUCGGGUUGUAAACCUCUUUUAGUAGGGAAGAAGCGAAAGUGACGGUACCUGCAGAAAAAGCACCGGCUAACUACGUGCCAGAAGCCGCGGUAAUACGUAGGGUGCAAGCGUUGUCCGGACUUAUUGGGCGUAAAGAGCUCGUAGGCGGUUUGUCGCGUCUGCUGUGAAAUCCCGAGGCUCAACCUCGGGUCUGCAGUGGGUACGGGCAGACUAGAGUGUGGUAGGGGAGAUUGGAAUUCCUGGUGUAGCGGUGGAAUGCGCAGAUAUCAGGAGGAACACCGAUGGCGAAGGCAGAUCUCUGGGCCAUUACUGACGCUGAGGAGCGAAAGCAUGGGGAGCGAACA